ensembl:snoRNA
ACCUUCUUACUUAAGCUCUCUAUUAAAAUUGCAGAAACUAGUGUGAUGUCUUUGUAUUUGUAAUAAAACCAGCAGAUUAAGCUCAAGAAGGAAAGUAACUAUACCAGAUAAUAGAAAAACUGAAAUGAACCUCUUUCUUAAGUCUGUCAUACUUUGUUUUAAGAUUUGGGAUGAGAAUA